UGAACGGCUGGCGGCGUGCUUAACACAUGCAAGUCGAGCGAAGCUCCUUGUUGAUUCUUCGGAUUGAAACAAAGGAUGACUGAGCGGCGGACGGGUGAGUAACGCGUGGAGAACCUGCCCCUACCGGGGGAUAACAGUUAGAAAUGACUGCUAAUACCGCAUAAGCGCACACUAUCGCAUGAUAGAGUGUGAAAAAACUCCGGUGGUACGGGAUGGCUCCGCGUUGGAUUAGCCAGUUGGCGGGGUAACGGCCCACCAAAGCGACGAUCCAUAGCCGGCCUGAGAGGGCGACCGGCCACAUUGGGACUGAGACACGGCCCAAACUCCUACGGGAGGCAGCAGUGGGGAAUAUUGCACAAUGGGGGGAAAAACCCCCUGAUGCAGCGACGCCGCGUGAACGAAGAAGUAUUUCGGUAUGUAAAGUUCUAUCAGCAGGGAAGAAAAUGACGGUACCUGACUAAGAAGCCCCGGCUAAAUACGUGCCAGCCGCCGC
rnacentral:rRNA from 1 species